GACAGAGGGUGCAAACGUUGCUCGGAAUUACUGGGCGUAAAGCGCGUGUAGGCGGGCUGAUAAGUCGGAUGUGAAAUCCCUGAGCUCAACUCAGGAACUGCAUUCGAAACUGUCAGUCUUGAGUAGUGGAGAGGAAAGCAGAAUUCCUGGUGUAGGGGUGAAAUUCGUAGAUAUCAGGAGGAACACCGGUGGCGAAGGCGGCUUUCUGGACACUUACUGACGCUGAGACGCGAAAGCGUGGGGAGCAAACAGG
rnacentral:rRNA from 1 species